GAUGAACGCUGGCGGCGUGCCUAAUACAUGCAAGUCGAGCGAACAGACGAGGAGCUUGCUCCUCUGACGUUAGCGGCGGACGGGUGAGUAACACGUGGAUAACCUACCUAUAAGACUGGGAUAACUUCGGGAAACCGGAGCUAAUACCGGAUAACAUGUUGAACCGCAUGGUUCAACAGUGAAAGACGGUCUUGCUGUCACUUAUAGAUGGAUCCGCGCCGCAUUAGCUAGUUGGUAAGGUAACGGCUUACCAAGGCAACGAUGCGUAGCCGACCUGAGAGGGUGAUCGGCCACACUGGAACUGAGACACGGUCCAGACUCCUACGGGAGGCAGCAGUAGGGAAUCUUCCGCAAAGGGCGAAAUCCUGACGGAGCAACGCCGCGUGAGUGAAGAAGGUCUUCGGAUCGUAAAACUCUGUUAUUAGGGAAGAACAAAUGUGUAAGUAACUAUGCACGUCUUGACGGUACCUAACCAGAAAGCCACGGCUAACUACGUG
rnacentral:rRNA from 1 species